GGAGGACUCGUCGUGAACGAAAACAAUGGCUGGCUUGAUCCGUCUGACGGUGCUGGUUGCAGUUGUGCUGCUUGUGCAGCUGGAUGGUUUGAACGCAGAUCCAAAGGCUGAAGAGUGCCGCCGUCACCGUCACCGCUGCCACCGUCCCCGUCCCCGGCCCUGCUUCCGCCCCCGUCCUCGUCCCUGCAUCCGCCCCCGCCCCAUCCCCUGCCACCCCCCACACCCC